UGUGGAGCCGGCACCACUGUUCAAAACGUCUCACACCCCCAGCAACACAGAGACAGGAUUAGUCAAUGGUGGAGGGGGAGCGAGCCCCUAGCGUUUCCAACCUUUGCAUUUUAAAGUGUAUUUUAAAAUUCUGUACCGAUUUUGUGGGCGAAGUCCGUAUCGUUGGGCUUCCAACGACAAUAUAAUAAAUAUGGCAACACAGAAACCAAUGCUAGACAAGGAAGUUAACACCUUCUACCGGCAGGCUAUAAAAUGGCGCCCUCACGGCUCCUGCCUUUUGUAGGGCGGGGCAGAACUUUCUGGAACAAGGGGCGUGACUGGGGCGGAGCGAGGGCGGAGCAUGCAAAUUAUGACCAUAUAAGGAGAAAACAUAAAUAUGCAUAACACUGCAGCAAAAUUUAACCAAUCAGAACACAGGAGUCACAUACAUGGGGAAUAAGGACAAAACUCAACCUGAGACACCAGCAAGAGCCUUUGGAAACAUGGAGUUUCACGCUACAUCAGCAUCUGAUCAUGCAGAUGCUUUCCCUCUAGUAAAACAGCCUGGUUCUGAUGCUUUCAGCCUGUCAUCUGCUCCUCUUUUCCAGGUGAUAGCUGGCUGAGAAUGGUACAUUCACACUACAUGGUCUGAUCAAAGGGAAAUGCACACAGUGGCAAGAGAAGCCUCAACUACCACCACACCCUGUCCUCUGCCAAGGGAGGAGUUGGCCCCACAGCUGGGAAACGCAGCAGAAGAGCCAACCCAGAUGCCCCAAUCUUCACACAAGACAUUGGAGCAGGCAAUACCAACAGUUUUGGCUCAAAUUUAUAAUGAAGACCUCAGCCAUACGGACAAGAGACACACAGGGCUGCCAGGACAAUUAAACUUAUGAAGUGCUGUCAACCCUGCUGCACCUGCCACAGUGACUUUUUUAAGAGUGGUUAUUCAGCCUGUUCUCAGCUGGUGUCUGCAAAUCAGUCACUGGCAAAUGGAAACUCAGGUCCUAUACCAAUAAAAACUGAACUGCUGCCCAGAAAAUCUACAUCUGGGAAUUGUCAGCAAAGCUGAUUUUUCAUUAUUUCCCUCUGUUUAUACAACACUGCUGCCUUUAGAUAUGUGUUCUUAAGCAGGCUGAAACUGAGCAAAGAUUGCGAGCAUUUGCUGUGAUUUGGUUUGUUUGUUUUUUUAGUAAAUUCUAAAUUAUGCCACAUGAGAGGGCAUCUAAGUCAGAAUGUGCAGAUACAGCACCAAAAAGGGACAGUGCAGGGAACACUCGUGCAUGGCACUGCUGGACUGGCUCAGGGCAGAGCCAGGGUUGCUAAUUACAGCUGUGCACAGCUGGAGUCAGCACCAGUUCCUUUCACAUCACAGCAGUGCUGUCUCUGCAUCUACCCCAGCUGAGCGUGUGAGAGAAGCAGGUUGUGUUUCAUGUAUUGUCAUGUUUUCUGCUCUGACUACUUCUUGUUUGCCAAUCCCCCCAUUCUGCCAUGCUUAGGCCAGUCUAAUGCAGUACAGACCUCAGCAUGACUGACUGACUGACCUUUCUCCUGGAACAGAUUUUAAGCAGAAAGUGUUACAAUUCUGUUCCAAUCUGUAUGUGUGCUGAUCAUUACUUGAACUUACUUUUAUGCACAAAUAUCCUCCGUUCUCUGAAAUUUGUGGAAAGGCCAGUUAUUUACCUCAGGAGUAAAGCUAAGGUCAGAGCCACAGAAGUUCCAGAAAUGGAGAUUGUCCAUCAUGAUCAACAGAACUAUUUAGUGGUGUUUUCUUAUUAGAAACCACCACCAGUCAGUGUUCACAGCACCCUAAAAGGAAACAAACUGGGACAAUGACUAAAUAAAUACGUAUUCAAGUGGAAACAUAAAUGAAAAAAAAAAGUCACAUAAAGCCUUAUUAA